UACGAAGGGGGCGAGCGUUGUUCGGAAUUACUGGGCGUAAAGGGCGCGUAGGCGGCCGAUCAAGUUAGAUGUGAAAGUCCUGGGCUUAACCUGGGGACUGCAUUUGAUACUGAUUGGCUUGAAUUCGGGAGAGGAUAGCGGAAUUCCCAGUGUAGAGGUGAAAUUCGUAGAUAUUGGGAAGAACACCGGUGGCGAAGGCGGCUAUCUGGACCGACAUUGACGCUGAGGCGCGACAGCGUGGGGGAGCAAACAGG
rnacentral:rRNA from 1 species